rnacentral:rRNA from 1 species
GUCGAACGAGAAAGCCCUUCGGGGUUAGUAAAGUGGCGAACGGGUGAGUAACACGUGGGCAAUCUGCCCUUCGUUGGGGGACAACCGGGGGAAACCCCGGCUAAUACCCCGUAAGCUUGUCGGGUCGCAUGGCCUGACAAGGAGAGGUAGCUUCGGCCAUCCGGCGAAGGAGGAGCCCGCGGUACAUUAGCUAGUUGGUGAGGUAACGGCUCACCAAGGCUACGAUGUAUAGCUGGUCUGAGAGGAUGAUCAGCCACACUGGGACUGAGACACGGCCCAGACUCCUACGGGAGGCAGCAGUCGGGAAUCUUGCACAAUGGGCGAAAGCCUGAUGCAGCAACACCGUGUGAGCGACGAAGGCCUUAGGGUCGUAAAGCUCUGUUUGCGAGGACGAAGGGCGAAGGGUUAAUAGCCCCUAGCCUGACGGUACUUGUACAGAAAGCCCCGGCUAACUACGUGCCAGCAGCCGCGGUAAUACGUAGGGGGCGAGCGUUGUCCGGAAUUAUUGGGCGUAAAGGGCGCGUAGGCGGCCUGGUAAGUCUGCUGUGAAACCUUGGGGCUCAACCCCAAGCGUGCAGUGGAUACUGUCAGGCUAGAGGAUGGUAGAGGCCAGUGGAAUUCCCGGUGUAGCGGUGAAAUGCGCAGAUAUCGGGAGGAACACCAGUAGCGAAGGCGGCUGGCUGGGCCAUUCCUGACGCUGAGGCGCGAAAGCUAGGGGAGCGAACAGGAUUAGAUACCCUGGUAGUCCUAACCGUAAACGAUGAACACUAGGUGUGGGGGGAGUCGAAUCCCUCCGUGCCGAAGCCAACGCGUUAAGUGUUCCGCCUGGGGAGUACGGCCGCAAGGCUAAAACUCAAAAGAAUUGACGGGGGCCCGCACAAGCAGCGGAGCAUGUUCUUUAAUUCGAUGCAACGCGAAGAACCUUACCUGGGCUUGACAUGGCACUGCAAGCGCACGGAAACGUGUGACCUUCGAGGGUGUGCCACAGAUGCUGCAUGGCUGUCGUCAGCUCGUGUCGUGAGAUGUUGGGUAGUCCCGGACGAGCGCAACCCCUGUCGUGGGUUGCCAGCAUUAAGUGGGACUCCCGCGAAACUGCCGGUACAACGGGAGAGGUGGGGAUGACGUCAGUCAUC